rnacentral:rRNA from 1 species
GAUUCGUCUGACAUGAAACCGGCGCACGGGUGCGUAACACGUAUGCAACCUACCUUUAACUGGGGUAUAGCUCAGAGAAAUCUGAAUUAAUCCCCCAUAAGACUACGACAUGGCAUCAUGAUGUAGUUAAAGCUCCGGCGGUUAAGGAUGGGCAUGCGGUACAUUAGCUAGUUGGUGAGGUAAUGGCUCACCAAGGCUACGAUGUAUAGGGGGUCUGAGAGGAUGAUCCCCCACACUGGUACUGAGACACGGACCAGACUCCUACGGGAGGCAGCAGUAGGGAAUAUUGGUCAAUGGACGCAAGUCUGAACCAGCCAUGCCGCGUGAAGGAUGAAGGCCCUCUGGGUCGUAAACUUCUUUUAUUAGGGAAGAAAACAUGGGAUGCGUCCCAAACUGACGGUACUUAAUGAAUAAGGAUCGGCUAACUUCGUGCCAGCAGCCGCGGUAAGACGAAGGAUCCAAGCGUUGUCCGGAUUUACUGGGUUUAAAGGGUGCGUAGGCGGAAAAUUAAGUCAGUGGUGAAAGCCCGCAGCUCAACUGUGGAACUGCCAUUGAAACUGAUUUUCUUGAAUAUAGCUGAGGCAGAUGGAAUAUAACAUGUAGCGGUGAAAUGCUUAGAUAUGUUAUAGAACACCGAUUGCGAAGGCAGUCUGCUAAACUAUUAUUGACGCUGAGGCACGAAAGCGUGGGGAGCGAACAG